GACGAACGCUGGCGGCGUGCCUAAUACAUGCAAGUCGAGCGCAGGAAAUCGACGGAACCCUUCGGGGGGAAGUCGACGGAAUGAGCGGCGGACGGGUGAGUAACACGUAAAGAACCUGCCCUCAGGUCUGGGAUAACCACGAGAAAUCGGGGCUAAUACCGGAUGGGUCAUCGGACCGCAUGGUCCGAGGAUGAAAGGCGCUUCGGCGUCGCCUGGGGAUGGCUUUGCGCUGCAUUAGCUAGUUGGUGGGGUAAUGGCCCACCAAGGCGACGAUGCAUAGCCGACCGGAGAGGGUGAUCGGCCACACUGGGACUGAGACACGGCCCAGACUCCUACGGGAGGCAGCAGUAGGGAAUCUUCCACAAUGGACGAAAGUCUGAUGGAGCAACGCCGCGUGAACGAUGAAGGCCUUCGGGUCGUAAAGUGCUGUUGUAAGGGAAGAACAAGUGCCGCAGGCAAUGGCGGCACCUUGACGGUACCUUGCGAGAAAGCCACGGCUAACUACGUGCCAGCAGCCGCCGUAA
rnacentral:rRNA from 1 species